UACAGAGGUCUCAAGCGUUGUUCGGAUUCAUUGGGCGUAAAGGGUGCGUAGGUGGCGCGCUAAGUCAGGUGUGAAAUUUCGGAGCUUAACUCCGAAACUGCAUUUGAUACUGGCGUGCUUGAGGACUGGAGAGGAGACUGGAAUUCAUGGUGUAGCAGUGAAAUGCGUAGAGAUUAUGAGGAAGACCAGUGGCGAAGGCGGGUCUCUGGACAGUUCCUGACACUGAGGCACGAAGGCCAGGGGAGCAAACGGG
rnacentral:rRNA from 1 species